AGCUUAGCACAGUGGCAGUAUCAUAGCCAAUGAGGUUUAUCCAAGGUACAAUUACUGCUAAUUGAAAACUUUUCCCAAUACUCUGCCAUGACAACUUGUAAUGUAGUCAGCAUUGGCAAUUUUUAACAGUUUCUACAAAGA
ensembl:snRNA U4 U4 spliceosomal RNA